UGAUGGUACUAUUUUCUCCACCAUCUUAUUUAAGCAAUGAAAUGGCUACUUGUCAAACUAGUUCUUAUAGCAUAUAUUUUAUCUCUGGUUGUCUUUGUGACGUUCUUUCCAGAAAUAGGGGUAACGGAGGAAGACAGGAGUGAUGCUAAAUGUAAAAGGAAAAUUGACAGGAUUAUUCAAAACUAUGAACUGGCUUUAAAUCAGACUGUUAACAAUCUUACAAGGAAUCGCGAAACUGUAAAUUCUGAUGCACAGAUCGGACCAGGAGCAUUUGGUCUUGAUGUUGAUCUAACGAAGACACCAAUGAGCCCUGCUGAGAGACAAGAGUGGGAGAGACUUCUGGCUCAAUACGAUUAUGACGCUUUCAUUAGUGAUAUGGUAUCGAUAUACCGCGUUCUUCCAGAUAACAGACCCGAUGUGUGUAAAACUAAGCAAUAUGGCAACUUGCCGGAAGUGAGUAUUAUAAUACCUUUUCGAGAUGAACGACUGAGUGUUUUACUGAGAACAGUACACAGUAUAUUACAAAACACACCUGAUGACUUACUGGCAGAAAUCAUUUUAAUUGACGAUGGCUCCAAAACAGACGAGUUGAAAUCGAGACUAGAAGUGCAUGUUCAGAGUCUUUCAAAGGUAAACCUGAUCAGACUGAACCCCUCUGCUGGUCUGAUGGUGGCUCGUCAGACAGGAAUAGAUCGAUGUAAGGCAGAUUACUUCAUUACCAUGGAUUGUCAUAUAGAGGUUAUCAGAGGAUGGUUAGAGCCGCUACUGUAUCGUCUGAAACAGAAUCCCAAGGCAUGUUUGUCACCAAAUGUAGGUCUUUUGAAAAGAGAUACAUUCGGUGUGGAUUUUACAACUAGAUGGACGUUUCAAAGGUUUCCGAUGUUCGUGUUUACUCUGGAAGAAGCACAUAGUUUCUAUAAGCCAGAUUAUCUGGCUAAAAUAAACAGAUCUGAACCAUUACCUACUGGAAUAAACCAAGGCAUGGUGAUAGCAAUGAAGAAGUCUUGGUUUAAACAACUCGGGGGAUUUGACACCGGCAUGAGAGUGUGGGGCGGUGAGCAAAUAGAACUUUCUGUAAAGGUGUGGACUUGUGGAGGCGCAGUAGAAAUUAUACCUUGCUCUUAUAUUGCUCAUUUGUUCAAAACACGCCUCGUUUGGGAAAAUAUGGGAUUGUCAAAAAUUAUAAACGCUCUAAGAUUCGCAGAGGUAUGGAUGGAUGAAUACAAAGAAAUGUUGCAUCAAUAUUGGCCCACUGCUAGACGGGAAAUAGACUUAGGUCCUGGUCUAAAGAAAGAAAAGUUAUCCGAAGACAAAAUCGUUGCAAGCCUUUCCAGUAUUAUAUUGACAAGGUGAAAGAAUUUGGACUUGUACAUUUCCCCGAAAACUUGAGGAGUUACGGUUGGCUACGAAACGAAGACACGGGAUUUUGUAUCGAGAAGGAAUCCGUGUUGGGAAGAUGUAGUAUGUUCAAAGCGGCAAUGCAGUUUUUCGAACACACAGAAGAGUACCAUAUAAGACACGAUGGAUGUUGUUUAUUUC
rnacentral:misc_RNA from 1 species